GACAGAGGUGCCAAGCGUUAGGCGGAAUCACUGGGCUUAAAGCGUGUGUAGGCGGAUGCCUAAGUACUUUGUGAAAUCCCACGGCUCAACCGUGGAACUGCUUGGUAUACUGGGUGUCUUGAGCCACUUAGGGGUUACCGGAACAAACGGUGGAGCGGUGAAAUGCGUAGAUAUCGGCUGGAACUCCGGUGGCGAAGGCGAGAUGCCGGACCCUUUCUGACGCUGAGGCGCGAAAGCCAGGGGAGCGAACGGG
rnacentral:rRNA from 1 species